rnacentral:rRNA from 1 species
CCUACGGGCGGCAGCAGUGAGGAAUAUUGGUCAAUGGGCGCGAGCCUGAACCAGCCAAGUAGCGUGAAGGAUGACUGCCCUACGGGUUGUAAACUUCUUUUAUAAAGGAAUAAAGUGAGGCACGAGUGCCUUUUUGUAUGUACUUUAUGAAUAAUGAUCGGCUAACUCCGUGCCAGCAGCCGCGGUAAUACGGAGGAUCCGAGCGUUAUCCGGAUUUAUUGGGUUUAAAGGGAGCGUAGAUGGGUUGUUAAGUCAGUUGUGAAAGUUUGCGGCUCAACCGUAAAAUUGCAAUUGAUACUGGCAGCCUUGAGUACAGUUGAGGUGGGCAGAAUUCGUGGUGUAGCGGUGAAAUGCUUAGAUAUCACGAAGAACUCCGAUGGCGAAGGCAGCCCACUAAACUGCCACUGACAUUGAGGUGCGAAAGUGUGGGUAUCAAACAGGAUUAGAUACCCUUGUAGUC